AGGCAGAUGCAGCGCCGGU
rnacentral:miRNA from 1 species